CAGGGACUCCUCAGCUAGAGAAGUUUUCGGGUAAAGACGUCUGGAGCCCUUUCUCCCCGCUACUGACUCCUGUGAAGGCUUCCCGUCACGGAGCCAAAUAGAAAAGUAGGACUUUCAUGCUGCUUUAUGUGAACAUUCUUUCCUGCAAUAGAGAAUAAAAAACUAGGAAAGAGGUAGCUAACUCAAGGAAGUUGUCUUCUCUGCAUCAGAGGAGAGCACGGGGCUGAUAAUGACCUGCUCGCAAAAAUAAGGAGCUGGAGACCAACGGCACUUGAGUGGUUAUCAGUGGUUAGCACGUCACUCCCAAUCUGCGUCUUUGGCUGAAUGCUCAACACGUGACGGACCAAGUCCCUGUUCAAGAAAAAGAAAGCUCAGAGCCAAUGUGAAUUGAAAGCACUCUCCUUGUCCCUGGGUUUCUGGGUCAAGAAAACUCUUUCCUGAAGUACGGAGCUGGCUUUAGACGCAAGUAAAUGGCAGACAGCACAAGUCUUCCACGGGGUCAGCAGCUCUGCAGGUUGAUGGAUUUGUUCUAUCCCCAGUAAUAACAACAAGGUGUUUUUCCUUCAAAUGUUUCACCUGGGAACCCGGAAAAAAAGUGUAUGUUGCUAUGGCAACAUCAGAAAGGGAAUUAGCACCCGAAGAAACUCAACCUGUCUGAAGCCUGAGGCUGUGCCCAACCUUCAGCAGUCCAUGAGGAAGUCAUCUCACAUAACCAAGAGGAGGACGCUUCUUGGGGUGUCUGCUGCAAUGCCAGCCCCAGAGUUCCACCCUGGUCUAGUCACCAACAUCAGGGGGCAGGCACACCUGUCAGCCAGGAGUCGGCAUAUGGAACUCAAAGAAAACUUAUCAACUCAUGUUUCGGCUACAAGUACAUUGCUGUGGCAUUGCAGCCAGUCCUGAGUUCUCACCCGUAUUCUAAGUCUCAACCUCUGUUGUUGGCCAGAUUCUUGCACAUUUUGCUGCUGCUUAAAGGAAGGAGAUUGGGAUUCAAAAUCCAUCUGCCCAAACAAGUACAUGUCAAAAAUGGGUUGGAUGGGAUGGCAGGGGGACUCUUCUCACUGAAGUUUCUCUGAAGAUUCCAUCUUCUUGUGAUGCUCCCCUUGCCAUGUGCAACCGCCAUGUACUUCCGUUGUUACUGCAUCAGGAGAGGAGAGUGCUGGAAAGUCAAACACUGGCAAUUACAUAUGUUGGCCUAGAAGUGACAUUUACUUCUGCUCACAUUUCAUUGGCCAAAACCAGUCGUAUGAUCUUAUCUAACUUUAGAGGGGAUAGAAGUGUCAUGCCACAAGAACUUAUUGAACUUUAGUAAUGCCAGCCAUAGGUGGUAUUACUGAAUUUCAUUGAUUCUAAGUUGCAUUUUUUUUCCGUUUUAGUAUCUCUGAAAUUGGGAUGCAUUGCACAAUCAAUAUCAUUUUCCAAUCACCAUAAGCCACUCUUUCAAAUUUUAUCUCUGAAACCAGAAUGUAUUUUACAAUUGGUGACAUCUUAGAUUUGAUGAUAAUAUGGUAUUAUUGCUAUUCUUCCCACAGGCUUGGCCUUCGGUGAUCCUGAGGAACCUUGACUGGGGUGGAGUGUGUAACCCCAGUCGUGCUAAUGUCCUAAUUGUAGUUGUGAGCUAUAGUCUAAGGCCUUCCUCUCUGCCUUCUUGAAUUUUCUUGUACCGUUUGUGUGGGGUCAGUGGGAGGAGAGUUUUUUGAGGCUUUUUCACACCCCUGGGAAUGACAGUCCUCUUCUCCUUUGCCCUGACAUUGGACCCCAGUUCUGGGACAAGUCUUUGAGGCUAUAAAGGCCCGUAAAAGCUUACAAGACAGCAGUUUCCUCAAUGGCGGUGACGGCAUCUUUUCUGUCUGUCCCAAUAAUCUCCUAGACAUCCAAAGUCUUGCUCUGACGUUGGACCCCAGUUCUGGGACAAGACUUUGAGGCUAUAAAGGCCCAUAAAGGCUUACAAGACAGCAAUUUCCUCAAUGGCAGUGACAGCGUCUUUUCUGUCUGUCCAAACAAUCUUCUAGACAUCCAGAGGGUCAGGAUAAAUGCUGAUUUAUGAUUCAAAGAUCCUAUUCCAGUAGCUGAAGAAGGAUGACCAUCAGCCUCUGACUGGGCCAGUGUCAUGCUCUCUUGCUUUUGAGGUUGACGGCUUCUUUACCUACAUCCCACUCAUUGCCUUCCAAGUCAUUGCCUUGAGACAUCAGAUACUGCCUUCUCUCUCUUUUCUGGUCUCCUCACCUAUAGGCUCCUAGAAUGUUUGCUUUGCACACCUGUGCACUCAAACGAUAAUGGCCAAUAAGAAGUAGGAAGAGAGACUGAGGGGUUGGAGAGGAGCAGGGAAUAGAAUGGAGGGUGGACUGAAUCUCAGACUGAAGCCAUCUGAUGGCUGAAGUAGGAAGAAGAAAGCACGGGUCUUCUCCAUAGUUUAUGCCCAAACUAUGUGGAUCUCCUGGGCUCUAGAUCAUGCAUCAUAGUACUUUGUACACAUUACCAUAAAUAACAUGAUUUUUUGGCAAAAGGACUGAGAUUAAUCUUCUACACUAUUCUCAUUUACAGCCCAGGGAUCCUUUCAUGUAUAAUUUGGUGUUUAAAUCCCCCCAUUAUAGCCAAUAUAAUGACCUUUAUGGGGAUUAAUGGCUGAAUAAAAGGCUCCCAUGCCUUUUUUGGGAGCUUCUUGGUAACACGUCUGAUUCUCAGCUAGACCCAACUCCCUAGCAUUCUUGCCUGCUUGGAGACCAGCUGGGGCUAACCCUGGGGCCAGAGAGCUCUCUUCUCCCAGGCUUGAGUGCUAUUGGGAAGUUUGGGGUUAGGUUCUUGUCCAGAGCCUUCUUAGCUUGUGGUCCUACUCCGAUUUCCUGGGUCUUGACAUUUUUCUUCUCCUCUAUUUUUAACGUGAUUCACUCAUUUAAAUUUUGUUGGAGGCCAACUUUGAAUACCAUGGAGUUUGUCGGCCACUCCCUGGUGGCUACUGGGUCUAGACAUGCCUGGUGCCUCGCCAGCCUCCUCCCACCCCAUAUGACAUUUGUGCUCUGAAAGAACUGCAUCUCAGGCUUUGCUUUGACUCUCCUCCUGGCUCCUUCAGGCUGCUGCCCAGUCGUAGUCUCCUGCUGUUGACUCCAAAUGGGUUUGCUCUGGUCCCUUCCUGCUGCUGCCCCUUGACGGUAUGGAAUGUUUCUUUGCUUCCUUGUGUUCCGAGGGCAUACCACAGGGCACAAAGCACUGCUGAUGCAUUCCCAGCCCAUGCUGCCACCACCUGAUUCUGCCAUUGUCUCCAUCCCUCCUCCCAACAUCAACAGUCCUGCCCCGGCUCAGCCACCAGCAAGCUCCACAGUCAUGGGCGCCGGUCACAGUUCUUGUUCCUUUUCUCAUUCCAACCUGCCUCUGUUCAUUACACAUUUGAAUGGUGCCACAGCUGGCUUUGGAGUUGGUCAGAAUUGGGCUCAAAUAUUGGUACUAACACUUAUUUUACUGAAGUCAGUUUCCUUAACUUUAAAAAUUGAGUAUAGCAAUGCCCAGUCAAGCACCCACCAUACAGUUUGUGCACAGUAUUAACUGUUAGUGUGUUAUUAAUGUGGGAAGUAGAAUAAUUGUGGUAAAGUUCAUGAGAUUUAGAGCCAAACAGACUUGAGUUCAGAUUUUGCCUCAAGGCUUAACCAAUGUCAGUUUCAGUUUCUGACUCCCAGCCUGGUGCUCUCAGUAUUUCUUUGGGCUCCCUUUCCACAUCUUACUGUUCAUGUUGGCAGAUGGGGACCUAGCCAACUCCUUGGACAGACCAUUGUAAACUGCUGCAUCUGAAUAAAGGGUUGAUUAUUAUUGCAGGGGGGAGGGUGUGUGAAUAAUUGAUAGUCACUCAGUCCAGACCCUUAACAGGAGAAUACUGCCUCUGCAUGGCUCCAGGCAGCCCCAGCUUGCCUGGGCUCAGACUAUUUUUUGAAGAAGAGCUAGUGACAGAGGUGGGGACUGACUCCUUAGUGACAAAGAGUGAUGGGAAAGUUAAUAAGGUGUUUGGAAGAAAAAGUGCCCUCUCUCUCUGGACAAAGAAAGAGGUAAGAACCACCAUUUGGUUGGGCUGGGAUAGAAGGGAUGAGCUCAUAGGACUUUGGAAAUUUGUAACCAGAUUGUCUCUUUGCUGAGAAAGCAAGCCAGUGAUUCAGCAGUUUUCUCAAAUCAGCAGAAGGAGAAGGGCUGAGAGUGUCAGAGAUCAUGAUUCUGAGGGGAGCAGGUUAUCUUUUUUUUGGAGACUUGACAGCAGUCAGGCUAGAGAGAGAGAAGUUUAGCAUGGAUAAUGGAAAUUCACAUAGAAUCCUCCGUCCUGGUUGUCAAUAGUGCUGACCACAGCCUCUCACGCAGUGAGUCUUUCGUCAGAGCUGUUCAAAGGCAGCAACAAUGAUCGCUUUGAUUUCAUCUGGUUUCAUUUCCUCUGUCCCCCUUGAGGGGAGCUGCAAAUAAACUAGGGACCAAGCUAAAAGAUGAGCUGGCAAAGCAGGAGAGAGGAGCUAGUUGGUCGGGCCCUGGGUUUUGAGCGGGAGGAGUAGCUGGUGCCACAGAGAGGGCUGGGAGCAGCUCAUACACUCCCGCCUGUCCCCAAAGGUACACAGGCUCACUUCUCCCUGGUUAUGUGGGUCAGGUGGGUUCCAUACACGAAGGACUUUCACGCUUCGUGUAAACCUUUUGAGUAUUGUAGAAGCACAGUGUUCCACGGUAAGACUCAAAUUCCUGAAGUGUCCUGCUUUAACUGCAUCAUAAUGUGAAUUGCGUUUGGAGUGGACUAGGGAGAAUUGCCUUUUAAGAGCUUUUAUGUGAACCCUUUUUAGAAGUAGAGAAAUCAUUUUUAAAUUAUCUUUUUGUAAAACUCUGCAUUUUCCAAUUAUUCAGUGUGUAUGAAAUCUCCCUUUGCCACCCUGCUUCCGAUUUAGUCCUCUAAGAAAUUCUGAUAGCUGCAAAUUUGUAAUUCUCAAACCUUGUUUUUAAAAAUAGUCAUGUAAUUUCUCUACAAAAUGGUAGAAUUUGAAGGAAUUCUGGAUGUGCUUCCCGGCUUUCCCAAAAGGCCUUUCUUCACCAGGGGACCCGCUGCAGAGAGUGAGGCUGUGCAUUGAUGACAGAGAGGGCUACCCCAGAGAGCUGCAGGAGCGAAGGAGGCAGAAAUACUUGCCAAAUGCACAAAAAGAAAAGUUAAUAGGACAAGACCCCUGGGUUAGAAACUCACGGUGCUCAAUCCCAAGGGGCAGGGAACUUGCUCUUCAGAUGAUCUUGCUGUGAAAAUUUCAAAGACUCAAGGGGAUUUAUUAAUAGUUGGGGCAUUGAAACCUUGCAGCAUUGCCCUUUUCAAUAGUAAAUUGUCUUUUAAAAUAUCUAGAACUCGUACUUAAUGUUCUUUACGGAUUUAAACCAGGCAAGGAGGCAGUAAAUCAGAUUAUCAUCAUCCUUGGGAAGAAGAGCAAUCUGGAAUGUUAAUUUUCCAGCUAAAAUUACUGAAAGUUUCUUUUGGGUUUGAUUUUGCUUUGUUUUUUGCAGAGAGAGAAUAAAAGAGGAGAAAGCCAAAGGUAAAAAGUUAUUUUCAGGAAAGCAUGUAUUCCAGGUUUCCAUUCUUUUUUUUUUUUUUUGGUGAGGGAGCUUGGCCCUUAGCUAACAUCUGUUGCCAAUCUUCCUCUUUUUGCUUGAGGAAGAUUGUCGCUGAGCUAAUAUCUGUGCCAGUCUUCCUCUAUUUUGUAUGUGGGAUGCCGCCACAGCAUGGCUUGAUGAGUGGUAUAUAGGUCGGUGCCCAGGAUCUGAACCUGCGAACCCAGGGCCACCAAGGCAGAGCGUGUGAACUUAACCACUACGCCACCGGGCCAGCCCCUCCAGGUUUCCAUUUUUGUAACUUGGUGAGUUAUAACUUAUUGUCUCUUGUAUUUCCCAUGAAAGUAUAAAAGUCCAGAGAACCACUUUCAGUGGUGCAAGGGAUUUUGUCCCCAUAUGGAGUAUGGACUGUAGGGAUUUGUUUAGGGAUAUUAGCCACCCUGUAAUCAGAGAAGAGAUUUCCAUUCUCUUCUGGAGAAGAGAAUGGAGACUGCCAUUUCCAUGGCAGAUAAAUUUAAGGUCAUGUUUCAUAGCUUAUUGACUGUGGCUAUGUUGGAAAAUGCCUUAAUGGGUUUAUUUAUUUUGAUAUGUGUUAUUCUUUACAAAUGCAAACUUCUCAGAACAUGGCUGUUGACCAGUUUCUCUUGUGGUGACUGCAGGUCAGGGAGGAGAUCUACUCAGGGGAAGGGCCUGGAGUUGGGUGCCAGAGAGACCCAGAUUCAAACUGGCUCUGGCACUCAUUGGCUCUGUGGUCUUGGAGCCAGUGAGUGCUUGAAGUCUCAGCUUCUCACUUAUGUAUGUGGAAUAAUGGCAUUGGCCUUGAAGAAUGGUGUGAGGAUGAGAGUGUGCAUGUAUGAAAUGCCCAACAAAGUGUCUGGUGGUUAGUCUAUGACUUCAUGGAUAUGGGAUUGGCCCAAUCCAGCAACAUUUUCUGCUGGAAAUUCCCCCCGACAACCUGGUUUAGUGAGACUGAUGAUUGAAGUUGGAGGGAAGAAAAUUAACUUAUUCAUGAGUAGAAAUAUCACAUACGCAGAAUGCCAAGUCCCCUCAAAGACCUUGAAAUAUCAAUUCCAGCUCCCUUUUGUGGGAAAUGCUGUAGGAGUUUUAAACACAGACUCUGCAGUCUUCCCUGGAAUCACAGGAGUUGUAGGCUAAUUACUGUGUCAGAGGAGUGCCUCAUGAGUAAUGGUGGCACUCUGAAUUGACUCUUGGGAUAAUUAAUCAGCAUAACUUUGUGAACCUUCCAUGGCCUUCUUUUCUCAGCAGCAACAACUUGAUUAGUUUGGACAUAUAAUAAUAGUUUGGUACUUAAACAGAACUGGCUUCAUAGUGCUCAUUUUCAUGAUAUUCAAUUUCUUCUUCUUGAAUUUUUUUAACUUUUAAUUUUUAAAGACCUGAAAAUUCUUCUUAAAAAUUCAGAGAAUCUUUAGGCUUUAGUUUUGAUCAUUUGUGUGUUAUAAUUCAUGGAUAGAAUUUUAUCCCCUCUAGAGGGGACACUGCUCUGCAACCACUGUCAAACUCUAUUUCUUAUCGCUGGGCUCUUCCUGGCCUUAAAUAUUUGAGGCAGAACCAGUGAUAUUCUAUCACACUGAUAAAAGGGGCAGAUUUAUGUAGUUAAGAGAGCACUAGACUUAGGGUGACCAAGUGGGUAUCGGUUUGUCUGAGACUUUUCCUGUUUUUGCACUGAAAGUCUGAUAUCCUGGGAAACCUCUCAGUCUCAGGCAAGCAGAGACAGUUUGCCUGGACUUGUCCUGCUUUAAAAAUGGAAAGUUUCACGUCCUGGGAAACCUUGGGCAAACUAGGGCGGUUGGUACUCUAACUGCAGUGGGCGUGUAGAGACCCAAGUUCUAGUCCUUGCUUUGCUGCUACAUAGCCAUGUGACAUUGGCCAAGUCACUUGCUGAAAAAAAUGAGGGAGUGGGUCAUAUAAUCCUAAAAGUCCCCAUCAGUGUUGACACUGUGCUUAAGAGGCCGUUUAUUACUGGAAUUUACCCUUUGUGUCUUUACUUUAGGGUUUUCUUUUCUUCUGAGAGACCAGUAUUCAAUUUGCUCUGAAAGGUCAUGUAAAUGAAUUCAGGCAACAAACUGGAUAAAAAUGUUCAGAAUAUAUCUGGAUCAAAUCUCAGAUAUGGAGGUAGAUGAUGCUGAUGAAUAUUGGGAUGCCAGAAUAAGCAGGUGCUGCUCUUGUUGAUUAUAAACCAAACACCCAAGGCAAGUAUCCUCCAUUUCAUGGCCAGGGAGGAAAUUGGCUGGGAUUUUCUGUUUUAGCUAAUGUGCAGUAUUUCCCAGCAGUGAGCUUGAAGCCUUGGUUGUAACUCUGGAAUGAAGCCUCUUUAUAAAUUGGAAUAAAUGUUGCCAAGCCAAGAUCCGAGUUGGGGUUUGGAAAGACGCUGAUGCUUGUUGGGCUCUUGUUGAGUUGGUAGUGUUGGUUUCCAGGGGACCAGCGAUCACCCGAUGCACCAAGAACUUCCCAGUUGCCCAUCUCAUGCUCAGGAUCCAGAUACAAAUAAGACAUGGCUCCACCCUUUAGGAGCCCACUGUUUUGCUAGGGGCAUGGAAUAGAAAUUAAUUACUAAACACAACAUGGCCAAUUCUAUAAUGGAGGCAUAAGCAGAAUGACGUGGGAAGACAAAGGAGGAAGCGAUUGAUUCCACUAUUCUGCUCCAUAUGCCAAUGGCACCCUGCUCCCCAUCCACUAGCUCACACAGGUGUGUCCAUAUCCCAAAGGAGUGUUAUUUGAGGUGAGGCCAAGAUGUCCCAAAGCUGUGUUUCUGUGGUUUCAUCUUUGGGUAUAACAGGAUAGAAUACCAUUAUUAUUAUUGUUACUGUUCAAGGCAGAAAAUAAAGAUAACAAGAAUGAUUUGAGUUUACAUUGACUUUUCCUGAAAGCCUACACCUAGCUUACUUCCUUUAAGCUUUUCAACUUAUUAGCUGCUAAAACAGGAUGUGCACACAUUAUAAAUGUGUCCUUUUAAAAUCCCAUGCUUUUGGUUUUAAAGGAAUCUUUUCGGAUGACAUGCCUACCCAGACUAGGGAAACUAAAGAAAAAAUAAACAAGUGGGACUUUAUCAGAUUAAAGAACUUUUAUAAGACAAAUGAAACCAGAAUCAAGAUGAACAAACAACCAACCAGCUGGGAGAGAAUAUUUGCAAAACAUAUAUCUGACAAGGGGUUGAUCUCCAUAAUAUAUAAAGAACUCACACAACUGAACAACAAAAAAACAAACAACCUGAUCAAAAAAUGGGCAGAGGAAAUGAACAGACACUUC